GAUAAAGGGAUGGAAUGGUUUAUGGAUAGAUGAUUGAUGAUGGAAGAUGGAUCGAUGAUGUUGGAUAGGUGAUGAUUGACUCUCUCAAUCCGUGGGUUUGAUUGAAUCUCUCAAUCUGGAAUAACACUGGCUGUUGAAUCACACAAACAACGUAUGCUAGAUGAAUCAAUAGAACACAAGAAUCACUCAAGUAUCAUAAGGACAGAUUUCUAUUCAAAGACUCUCUUUGAUAAAAAUAAACAAAC
rnacentral:lncRNA from 1 species